rnacentral:rRNA from 1 species
UGCUUUACACAUGCAAGUCGUACGGGAGUUUUUAACUCUAGUGGCGGACGGGUGAGUAACACGUAAGAAUUUGCCUUUAGGAGGGGGAUAACAUCGUCAGAAAUGAUUCGAGAAAUUGAUGCUAAUACCCCAUAUGCUUUCGAGUGAAAUGGAGUUUUCCGCCUAAAGAGAAGCUUGCGGCUGAUUAGCUUGUUGGUGAGGUAAUGGCUUACCAAGGCGACGAUCAGUAUCUGGUUUGAGAGGAUGAUCAGACACACUGGAACUGAGACACGGUCCAGACUCCUACGGGAGGCAGCAGUGGGGAAUUUUCCGCAAUGGGCGAAAGCCUGACGGAGCAAUCUCGCGUGAGGGAUGACUGCCUAUGGGUUGUAAACCUCUUUUUUCAGGGAGGAAUAAAUGACGUUACCUGAAGAAUAAGCAUCGG